GACAAGAUGGCCGAGUGGUCUAAGGCGUGUGACUAGAAAUCACAUGGGUUCGCCCGCGUAGGUUCAAAUCCUGCUCUUGUCG
rnacentral:tRNA from 1 species